rnacentral:rRNA from 1 species
UACGUAGGGGGCUAGCGUUGUCCGGAAUCAUUGGGCGUAAAGAGCGUGUAGGCGGUCCGGUAAGUCCGCUGUGAAAGUCGGGGGCUCAACCCUCGAAUGCCGGUGGAUACUGUCGGGCUAGAGUGCGGAAGAGGCGAGUGGAAUUCCUGGUGUAGCGGUGAAAUGCGCAGAUAUCAGGAGGAACACCUAUUGCGAAGUCAGCUCGCUGGGACGUUACUGACGCUGAGACGCGAAAGCGUGGGGAGCAAACAGG